rnacentral:rRNA from 1 species
UAAACGCUGGCGGCGUGCCUAAUACAUGCAAGUCGAGCGAACAGACGAGGAGCUUGCUCCUCUGAUGUUAGCGGCGGACGGGUGAGUAACACGUGGAUAACCUACCUAUAAGACUGGGAUAACUUCGGGAAACCGGAGCUAAUACCGGAUAACAUGUUGAACCGCAUGGUUCAACAGUGAAAGACGGUCUUGCUGUCACUUAUAGAUGGAUCCGCGCCGCAUUAGCUAGUUGGUAAGGUAACGGCUUACCAAGGCAACGAUGCGUAGCCGACCUGAGAGGGUGAUCGGCCACACUGGAACUGAGACACGGUCCAGACUCCUACGGGAGGCAGCAGUAGGGAAUCUUCCGCAAUGGGCGAAAGCCUGACGGAGCAACGCCGCGUGAGUGAAGAAGGUCUUCGGAUCGUAAAACUCUGUUAUUAGGGAAGAACAAAUGUGUAAGUAACUAUGCACGUCUUGACGGUACCUAAUCAGAAAGCCACGGCUAACUACGUG